ensembl:lncRNA
GUACAAUCCCUGAGCUGUGAGCAGAGGGGCCUGGCCAAGAAAAACCCUGUGUCUGUGUUUAUGAAAAGGCAAACAGAUCCCAAAGGGAGGCCCACGUUCUAGCUGGCGUUGGGCACAGGCCCUCCAGGAAAGCACACACAGAUUCGAAGGAGGCCCUGGCACAGCUUCUCCGGGACCCCAGUGAGCCCCGUUUCAGAGCCCUCUUUAGACACACAGAAUACGAGGAGAGGGAAAGGGCAGCGUGGAGCCUUCUCUUCCUUAGUGCCCAGUAAACGCUGUGUCUGCUCACCGCCGCUUCAGUCCAGCCACGUGAAGCACGUGCACGACCUCAGAACUGAUCCAAUCCAAGCUCCUUUGUACCAGUGGGGAAACCAAGGGCCAGAGAAGUCAAGUGACUUGCCCGAAGGCACAGAGCUAAAAACUGAAGUCAGGAGACCGGGUCUCCUCACCCUGAGGUCAGGGUUCUUUCAAGCCAGAUUCUUUCUCAGUUUAGCCUGAGGCUGCCUGCUGCAAGGUACUUCCGUAACACCUGGAUAAAUCCUUCACAUGAUAAGACUUGUUGGACUCCAGAGACCAAGGUGUAUCUGCUUGACCCGGCCCCUCCACCCCUGAACCUGCCAAAACUCAAGGUGGAGAGUCCUACCACUGAAGCCCACCUCUGCCUUUUAUCUGCUGUUGACCACGGGCAAGUCACUUAACUGCUCUGAACUUCAGUUUGCUUACUGGAAACACAGAGAGAUCAUGGUAGUAUUUACUUCUUUGGGAGCUGUGAGGAUCAGGGUCCAUAAAAGCCUGCCCAGCUGCCCAGAGAGGUGACCCCUUCAAGCCUGACCGACCGUGUUGACGUUCUGCCGGCAAUUGUCUGCAGAGGAGCCCUUGUGCCCCUUUUGAAGUUCAGUGGAGUGAAGUGUAAUCUAAGUGAGCUGGAACACGUUUUGAUAAAGCAGCUUCCAUGGCCAGGGGCCUCCUUUUGGCAAAGCCAUUAACAUGGGAAGCUGAGCCGGGGCUGAGCUUUUCGUCUGGGCCCGCCAGCCCGUCCCCUGGCCUUUGAUCACAGGACAUUAAGAUACUUGCGCACAGAGCAGUAGUUCAGUUCUGACCUCCUUGUUUUCCAGAUGGGGAAACUGAGGCCCAGAGAGGAGGAGCGACUUGCCUGAGGUCACACAGCUGGUGAGGGGCAGGGUCAGUGCUGGGACCCUUGUCCACACCAGCCAGGCCUUCCUCGGGCUGUACAAAAUGGUGGGUGGUCAGUGACAAAAAAGAGAAUGCAGAGGACGACGCAAUAGGGAAGAAUCAGGCUCCCUCCCUGGGGAAGGCUGGCAGACCCUGGCAUCUGCACGCCAGCCAGGUGGGCCGAGAUAGGAAGGAAUCACAGCUAAGCCUGGUUAACACCCACAGCCUCAUCAAAGCACGGCUGCAUUGUUGGUCUCAUACGCUCGUCUCGUCAGGGUUGGCGUCUUGCUGACGGGUGAAAGGGACCUGCUCAAGGCCGCACAGGGCAGGCACUGCUGAGGGGACAUAUUGCCCUGGAAAAGGGCUUUAAAGGUCACUUGGAUGAUGAACAGGGGCAGAGCUAGGAGACUCAGAUCUCAUGAGGCGGUUAUGAGGAUGAAAUGGGUGCUUAGAAGAGCACCCGGCCGGUACGCGCUCACCGAGCUCACCACCACCAUCAGGACGUCUGUCACUCCCAUCCACCCUCAGGGCUGAUUCUCCCAGUGGGGUCGGGUCCCUCUUCCCUCACCCGGAGAGAAAAGGAGGGCUCCUGUAGCAAAGGCUGGACUCAUAGCUGGGCUUCUGGCCCAUGCUUCCAAACCCACUGACUGGAGGCCACUGGAGCGUCCCAUGGGAGCUCUGAGCGGGUGAGUGGCCCCCAUGAUGGCGGAAGCCUGGCCACAUGCUCUGAGGGGUCCGGCCUGUCCUCCGGCUCUCCAGCUGCCUCAAAUCCCCCAGCUUUCAGAGCAUCUGAGGAAGGGAUCCGGUCCUACGAAUCCCCACUUCCUGGUCUCUGGGGAGGCUUCUCAGGAGCCGAGGGCUGGAGAAGGGCUCCCCCAGCCCUCACUGCCAGCCAUGCUCCCAGAACAGGACAACAGGGUAUGAUUCCCAUGAGCUGGGUGAGUCAGGACAGGAGGCAGGGAGACGUGGUCUUUCUUCUCAGCCUCAGACUCUCAGUGUGCAGCUCUCGGGUGGCAGAUGGUUCCUCCCCAUGAUGUCUAACUGCUGUUAGAAGGAGCUGGCGUUCCUAGAGACUGAUGGGGUGGAGAGAGCCCAAGAU